rnacentral:rRNA from 1 species
CCAGACUCCUACGGGAGGCAGCAGUGGGGAAUAUUGGGCAAUGGGCGGAAGCCUGACCCAGCAACGCCGCGUGAAGGAAGAAGGCUUUCGGGUUGUAAACUUCUUUUCUCGGGGACGAACAGAUGACGGUACCUGGGGAAUAAGCCACGGCUAACUACGUGCCAGCAGCCGCGGUAAUACGUAGGUGGCAAGCGUUAUCCGGAUUUACGGGGUUUAAAGGGUGCGCAGGCGGAGGCACAAGUCAGCGGUAAAUGCGGGGGGCUCACCCCCGCUCCGCCGUUGAAACUGUGUCCCUUGAGUGCGCGAAGGGUAGGCGGAAUGCGUGGUGUAGCGGUGAAAUGCAUAGAUAUCACGCAGAACUCCGAUCGCGAAGGCAGCCUACCGGCGCGCUACUGACGCUCAUGCACGAAAGCGUGGGUAUCGAACAGGAUUAGAUACCCUCGUA